rnacentral:tRNA from 1 species
GGCCCGGUUGCUAAGUGGUUAGAGCGCUGGCCCUCGGCCCAGAGUCUCAGUUCCAUUCCCAGUCAAAGGCACAUACCUCGGAUGCAGGUUCAAUCCCUGCCCCGGUCA